rnacentral:rRNA from 1 species
UACGGAGGAUCCGAGCGUUAUCCGGAUUUAUUGGGUUUAAAGGGUGCGCAGGCGGGAUGUUAAGUCGGCGGUGAAAUUUUGCAGCUCAACUGCAAAAGUGCCUUCGAUACUGGCUUUCUUGAGUGUGGAUGAAGUAGGCGGAAUUUGUGGUGUAGCGGUGAAAUGCUUAGAUAUCACGAGGAACUCCGAUUGCGCAGGCAGCUUACUAAACCACUACUGACGCUCAUGCACGAAGGCGUGGGGAUCAAACAGGAUUAGA